rfam:Ailuropoda melanoleuca scaffold582_67, whole genome shotgun sequence.
ACCUGGCUGGGUCAGUAGGUAGAGCAUGUGACUCUUGAUCUCAGGGUUGUGAGUUCAAGUCCCACAUUGGGUG